rnacentral:rRNA from 1 species
UACGUAGGGUGCAAGCGUUAAUCGGAAUUACUGGGCGUAAAGCGUGCGCAGGCGGUUAUGUAAGACAGAUGUGAAAUCCCCGGGCUCAACCUGGGAACUGCAUUGUGACUGCAUAGCUAGAGUACGGUAGAGGGGGAUGGAAUUCCGCGUGUAGCAGUGAAAUGCGUAGAUAUGCGGAGGAACACCGAUGGCGAAGGCAAUCCCCUGGACCUGUACUGACGCUCAUGCACGAAAGGCGUGGGGAGCAAACGAGG